CCACAACAACAUGAUGGAUAUAUGUGUUAUGACAUUAAAGAAAAGAAAAUUUACAUAUCAAAGAACGUGAGAUUUAUCGAAAAUGAUUUUUCAUUGAAUAGUAGGCUGUUUGAAGAAAAUACAAGUCAUGACAUCGGUGAAGAUAACGACACGGUCACUUCAAACGAUCUUGAAAUUCUUGACAUUACUCUAACAACAGAGGCUUUGCCCGAUCAUCCAAGAAAUCUGCCACGCUCCGAGGUUUCACCAGAGCCGCAACCGAAUCACACGAUAUCGCUGAUUAGAGAACUCCAAAACCCAGAUGUAACACUCAACAGUGGGGAAGAAACAAAUCAGGAUUUUCUCAACGAUCAUGAAGACCGGCCGACGUCAAACGACUCCGUCACGACCUCCGGUGAUAACGUUACAACGACACCUAUCACAGAAAUGCAGACACGGCACGAGAAGGUUGUAACACGAGCGUCACGUGGAGUCAUCAAGCCCAAUCCAAAGUACGGGCUCGCGGCUAUAUUGGAUCACAUCGUCAUCCCGAGAUCGGCAAAAGCGGCAUUGACAGAAUCUGGAUGGAAAGCGGCUAUGAAGGAUAAAUUUGAUGCCUUGGUAAAAAAUAAAACGGGGAGACUAGUUCCACGUACCGACGGAGAUAGAGUAAUCAACACCAAAUGGGUGUUUAAAAUCAAAUAUGCUGAAGAUGGGACAAUUCAAAGAUUGAAAGCAAGGUGGGUAGCAAACGGCAUGCGACAAAUAGAAGGGUGUGAUUAUCAUCAGACUUUUAGCCCGGUGGUGAAAUCAAAUUUGGUCAGAAUAGUGCUCACGAUUGCAAUUUUCAGAAAUUGGGUGUUGAAGCAGAUAGACGUAUCUAAUGCAUUCCUACACGGGAAUAUUGAAGAACGGAUCCUCGUAACACAACCGGUGAGAUUCGAGGAUACAAAAUAUCCACAACACGUUUGCUUACUUGAGAAGGCUCUAUACGGUCUAAAACAAUCUCCGAGAAUGUGGUACCGGAGGUUGCGGGAAUUUUUGAU
rnacentral:lncRNA from 1 species